UAAAGGAAUUAUUUUUAAUUGAAAUAAUUUGCUAACAGGUGCUAACACUGGUUUGUAUGUGACUGUGUAGGUCGUGCAAAGAUUGUACACCUUCUGUUGGAGAGGAACAAGUCUGGGAUGAUCACGUCAGACAGUCACGGAGCAACACCUCUGCACUGGCUGAUCGCUUCCAUGCCACACCUCACUGAUGCUGGAGUUUGUGCUGAAGCAGCCCUGACCAAGUAUUGAAACACAGUCGCAGCGUUCCUAACACCACCCUUUGCGAGAUAAGAUCAAUCUGAAGAGACGAAAAGCAUUCAUGUGGGCUGCGGGGAAGGGUAGUGAUGAUGUCAUCAAAAUUAUGCUGGAAUUGAAAAAGGACUUGACAUAAACAUUACUGACAAAUAUGGAGGGACAGGUGUGUGAGAGAGUUACACAAUCACACAGACAAUCAUUUUGAACACAAUUAUUCAUUCCUUGCCUAAACUGGUUAGAUUUAGCUCAGAUCAGUGAUAAUUGCAUUUUCUGUUCAAUCAAGCAAUUAACAAGUCAUAUCCUAUGUAUGUACCUCCAUGCGGCCAUAACUAGAGUUGACUGUUUGGUCACUGACUUUAUGUGCUCUUUUGUGUGUGUGUGUGUGUGUGUGUGUGUG